rnacentral:rRNA from 1 species
UACAGAGGGAGCGAGCGUUAAUCGGAAUUACUGGGCGUAAAGCGCACGUAGGUGGCGACGUAAGUCGGGUGUGAAAGCCCCGGGCUCAACCUGGGAAUUGCAUUCGAGACUGCAUUGCUGGAGUACGGAAGAGGAGGGCGGAAUUCCCGGUGUAGCGGUGAAAUGAGUAGAUAUCGGGAGGAACAUCAGUGGCGAAGGCGGCCCUCUGGUCCAGUACUGACACUCAAGUGCGAAAGCGUGGGUAGCAAACAGG